rnacentral:lncRNA from 1 species
GAGCAAGCAGGGGGCGACCCCCACUCCUUCAAAACCCUAGAACUUCAGAAAUCUUGCAAAUUGAAGGUUCAAUCCAAGUUCAAAUCGAAUUCUAAACAUAGAUUCCUGAUCCUCAUCACAAGGGGAUUACAAGUUUGACGCGUAACAAGCUAGGUGGAAGCUUGAUGAGGGAGCGGGUCAAACGAAUCAAGAAGGAAAGGAAAAGCGUAGUUCGGAUGCGAGGUACUUUUUGGAUGCCGGAAGACGAUCAAGCUCAAUGAAGAACCGAACACGAUAAAGACACAUGCUUCCGCA